UGACCUCUGACCUCAAAUCAGGUAGGACUACCGCUGAACUUAAGCAUAUCAAUAAGCGGGAGAA
rnacentral:rRNA from 1 species